rnacentral:tRNA from 1 species
CUUGUAGCUCAGUUGGAUAGAGCAACGGCCUUCUAAGCCGUGGGUCGGGGGUUCGAGACCCUCCAGG